rnacentral:lncRNA from 1 species
UACUUGAAUACUUUAAGACAACUGUGUUAUCACUGAUGGGAGAAGCUUUUAAGGGGAGUUGGAUGUGAUUGAGGCUCGUUGGUUUAUGGAAAUUCUCUUGUGGAUAUAUUUUGAUGGAAGAGAUAGUGACCAGUGAGUAUCUUUUCUUGAUGGAAGCCUGGAGUAGAUGGUAGAAACAGAGACAGAAGUGGAGACCCAAGAAUGAAUUGCGGAGCUGUUAAUACAUUACAUAGAGUGUAGUUACCCAUUACUAUAAUAUGUAGACCUGCAGUUAGCAGAUGGAAAGAAAGGGCUUUAAAGAAUUUUUAAAAAAAUUUUAAUUUUGCUUAUGUGAUUGGGUGUGUGCAUGUGACAGCAGGUGGCUACAGAGGCCAGAAGAGGGCGCUAUAUCUUCUAGAGCUGUCCUUACAGAUAGUUGGCCAAACUUGGGUUCUUUGCAAAAUCAGUACAUGCUCUUGAUUGAAGGAAUCAUAGUAUGGGAAGAGCAGAGACGUAGGUGCCAGGGAUUCUCAAAGAGGGGAGAGUCAGCUUUAAUAGUGCCAGAUGCUCGGAAGAUAGCAAAGAGGAGGAAGGACACUGGGUUUGGCAGGAUGUAUGGACAUGUCAAGAGCAGCGUUGGACACGAAGCAAAGGUUUGAUUAGAGCAGAGACAGCUGCAUCUUAGGAGUUAGUAUGGAACAUGAAACCAUGUAAACUAUGAAAAGAACAGUCCCAGGCAUGUUUUAUGUAAAAUUAGCACAUCAGUCAGAUGGGGCAGUAGACUUGUUUGCAAGCCUCUAUGUAGUGUUGAGAAAUCCUGGUUAACUGAAAUGCCUUCCCUGAGGUAUUGAGCUCCUUUUAGCCAACUUUUGUCUUCCCUUCUGUCUUGGUGCCCAUUAUCAAAUAUAGUUUCUCCUUGGUGCCCUUUUGAGUGGUUGUUGAGUUCCAUUCUACACAUUUACAAGAUUAACAUCACUGGCUACAAACAUACUACUUUUGUCUUUCUGUUAGCUCAUUUAUUUUCCCUUUGAAGGCAGGGUCUCAUUCUAUGCCUAGUUUGGCCUGGGAAUUGUUAUGUGGCCCAAGAUGGCCUUGUACAUGCGUAUAUGACUUUUGUCCUACCUCAGCCUCUCUGAGAUAGCAUUAUGGGUGUGAGCCCAUACCAUCACUUUGUCAGGAUUUCAGUGAAAGUAUAAAAUAGUGUCUUCUUAUUUGAGAUUUCACUUAACUGUUUUCAACUGUGGUUUGAGAAAUGUUAAGUGGAAAAAUUUCAGAAAUAGCAAUCUAAAAUUUAGAAGUAAUUUUAUGGUAUUUUAAUAACAAUUCUGUUUUAUUAUUUCUAUAAAUUCUCUUCAGUUAUUGUCAAUCUUUGAUCCUAAUUUAUAAAUUAAACUUCUUCAUAAUUUGUAUAUUUAGGACAGUAUACAGUAUACAUAGGGUUCAUUACUGUACUUGGUUGUAGGCACCUAGAUAAAGGUAGGGUUUUAAGCUCUGCGUUAAUAAUGUGGCAGAGUUCUUCACCAACACUUCACGUGUAUUUAGAUAAAGGUUGCAAAAUAAUCUUUGUUUUCUUUCAUGCUUUUAACAUUAAAUGACACACAGCUAGCGAAUUUCAGAUAUCAAGUCUUUAUCUUAGAUUUACCAUAAUGGAUGAGUCUGACUUUUUUUUCAUUUAUUUAUUUUUUUAAUUAGGUAUUUUCUUCAUUUACAUUUCCAAUGCUAUCCC